CCUACGGGAGGCAGCAGUGAGGAAUAUUGGUCAAUGGGCGAGAGCCUGAACCAGCCAAGUCGCGUGAGGGAGUACUGCCCUAUGGGUUGUAAACCUCUUUUGUCGGGGAGCAAAAGCCGGACGUGUCCGGCUGUGAGAGUACCCGAAGAAAAAGCAUCGGCUAACUCCGUGCCAGCAGCCGCGGUAAUACGGAGGAUGCGAGCGUUAUCCGGAUUUAUUGGGUUUAAAGGGUGCGCAGGCGGAUUUUUAAGUCAGCGGUAAAAUCGUGGGGCUCAACCCCAUCCAGCCGUUGAAACUGGGGAUCUAGAGUGUGCGAGAGGUAUGCGGAAUGCGUGGUGUAGCGGUGAAAUGCAUAGAUAUCACGCAGAACCCCGAUUGCGAAGGCAGCAUACCGGUGCACAACUGACGCUCAGGCAUGAAAGCGUGGGUAUCGAACAGGAUUAGAUACCCUGGUAGUC
rnacentral:rRNA from 1 species